rnacentral:rRNA from 1 species
UACGUAGGGUGCAAGCGUUGUCCGGAAUUAUUGGGCGUAAAGAGCUCGUAGGCGGUCUGUCGCGUCGGAUGUGAAAAUCCAGGGCUUAACCCUGGACCUGCAUUCGAUACGGGCAGACUAGAGUUCGGUAGGGGAGACGUGGAAUUCCUGGUGUAGCGGUGAAAUGCGCAGAUAUCAGGAGGAACACCGGUGGCGAAGGCGGGUCUCUGGGCCGAUACUGACGCUGAGGAGCGAAAGCGUGGGGAGCGAACAGG